rnacentral:rRNA from 1 species
AGUGAACGCUGGCGGUAGGCCUAACACAUGCAAGUCGAACGGCAGCACAGUAAGAGCUUGCUCUUACGGGUGGCGAGUGGCGGACGGGUGAGGAAUACAUCGGAAUCUACUUUUUCGUGGGGGAUAACGUAGGGAAACUUACGCUAAUACCGCAUACGACCUACGGGUGAAAGCAGGGGAUCUUCGGACCUUGCGCGAUUGAAUGAGCCGAUGUCGGAUUAGCUAGUUGGCGGGGUAAAGGCCCACCAAGGCGACGAUCCGUAGCUGGUCUGAGAGGAUGAUCAGCCACACGGGAACUGAGACACGGUCCAGACUCCUACGGGAGGCAGCAGUGGGGAAUAUUGGACAAUGGGCGCAAGCCUGAUCCAGCCAGACCGCGUGGGUGAAGAAGGCCUUCGGGUUGUAAAGCCCUUUUGUUGGGAAAGAAAAGCAGCAGGUUAAUACCCCGCUGUUCUGACGGUACCCAAAGAAUAAGCACCGGCUAACUUCGUG